rnacentral:rRNA from 1 species
UACGAAGGGUGCAAGCGUUACUCGGAAUUACUGGGCGUAAAGCGUGCGUAGGUGGUGAGUUAAGUCUGUCGUGAAAGCCCCGGGCUUAACCUGGGAAUGGCAUUUGGGACUGCAAGGCUUGAGUGCGGCAGAGGAGACUGGAAUUCCUGGUGUAGCAGUGAAAUGCGUAGAUAUCAGGAGGAAUACCGAUGGCGAAGGCAGGUCUCUGGGCUGACACUGACGCUCAUGCACGAAAGGCGUGGGGACAAACAGG